rnacentral:lncRNA from 1 species
GCAGGCGCGGAGAGGCGCACAGCGCAGGCGCUGGCGCGGAGAGGCGCAGGCCCAGGUCCACUCCCCAGCUGUGAAAGGUGACGGGAACAGUAAGAAUGAGGCUUGGAACGCGGAGCGCAUUGUGGGCCUGUCGUGGGUGGCGCCAGCAGCACAUGCAUGCCUGGCUCACAGAGCAGCCUUUGGGUGUUCUUUUCCCAGAGGAGCUCUACGGUGACUUUGAAGACUUGGAAACAGGGGACAUGCACAAGGGAAAAUCGGGCCCCGACACUCAGAAUGAAGAUAUAGAGAAACAAGGAAGAAAUUGACCCCGACGAAGAAGAAAGUGCCAAGAAAAAGCAUUUGGAUAAGAAGAGAAAAUUGAAGGAGAUGUUUGAUGCGGAAUAUGAUGAAGGAGAAAGCACAUAUUUUGAUGAUCUUAAAGGAGAAAUGCAGAAAGAAGCACAGCUGAAUCACGUAGAAUUUGAAGAUCAAGAUGAUGAAGCCAGAGUUCAGUAUGAUGGUUUUCGACCUGGGAUGUACGUCCGCGUUGAGAUUGAAAAUGUUCCCUGUGAAUUUGUGCAGAACUUUGACCCCCAUUACCCCAUUAUCCUGGGUGGCUUGGGCAACAGCGAGGGAAAUGUUGGACACGUGCAGGUGGGUCCCUUUGCUGCAUAUUUGGUGCCUGAGGCUCUGUGGAUUUCCCCUCCAUCAGUCAUCUUACCCUCUCAUCCCCCUCAGAUGCGUCUGAAGAAACAUCGCUGGUAUAAGAAAAUCCUCAAGUCCCAAGAUCCAAUCAUAUUUUCUGUAGGGUGGAGGAGGUUUCAGACCAUCCUGCUCUAUUAUAUUGAAGACCACAAUGGAAGACAAAGGCUUCUAAAGUAUACCCCACAGCACAUGCAUUGUGGAGCAGCCUUUUGGGGUAAAAUAUGAUUACAAUAACUUGCCUAUUGCCGAGAUUAAACUUUACAGGCUGCGUUAUUUUAGCUUUGUGCUUUUCCUUUCAUAAAAUUCCACUCCUAAGAUGUUUCUGUUUUCUGGGAGCGGGGAGGUGGUUUGGAGUAUAUAUGUAAAUCUAUAUCCAAAUCUAAAUGUCCGUAUCCAGUAUGUUAAACUAGAAUCUAAAA